UACGUAGGGGGCAAGCGUUGUCCGGAAUCAUUGGGCGUAAAGAGCACGUAGGCGGCCCAGUAAGUCCGCUCUGAAAGUCAGAGGCUCAACCUCUGGAUGCGGGUGGAUACUGCUGGGCUAGAGUCCGGAAGAGGCGAGUGGAAUUCCUGGUGUAGCGGUGAAAUGCGCAGAUAUCAGGAGGAACACCGGUGGCGAAGGCGGCAUCCUGGACCAACACUGACGCUGAGGAGCGAAAGCCAGGGGAGCAAACGGG
rnacentral:rRNA from 1 species